UACGGGGGGGGCAAGCGUUGUCCGGAAUUAUUGGGCGUAAAGCGCGCGCAGGCGGUCUCUUAAGUCUGAGGUUUAAGCCCGGAGCUCAACUCCGGAUCGCCUUGGAAACUGGGGGACUUGAGUGCAGGAGAGGGAAGCGGAAUUCCACGUGUAGCGGUGAAAUGCGUAGAGAUGUGGAGGAACACCAGUGGCGAAGGCGGCUUUCUGGCCUGUAACUGACGCUGAGGCGCGAAAGCGUGGGGAGCAAACAGG
rnacentral:rRNA from 1 species